GUGAGGAAUAUUGCGCAAUGGAGGCAACUCUGACGCAGCCAUGCCGCGUGCAGGAAGAAGGCGCUACGCGUUGUAAACUGCUUUUAACCGGGAAGAAACCCCAGGACGUGUCCUGGGUUGACGGUACCGGAGGAAUAAGCACCGGCUAACUUCGUGCCAGCAGCCGCGGUAAUACGAAGGGUGCAAGCGUUAUCCGGAUUCAUUGGGUUUAAAGGGUGCGUAGGCGGAGCGUUAAGUCAGUGGUGAAAUCCUGCGGCUUAACUGUAGACUUGCCAUUGAUACUGGCGCUCUUGAGUGCGCUUGAAGUGGGCGGAAUGUGCCGUGUAGCGGUGAAAUGCUUAGAUAUGGCACAGAACACCAAUUGCGAAGGCAGCUCACUAAGGCGAUACUGACGCUGAGGCACGAAAGCGUGGGGAUCGAACAGGAUUAGAUACCCGAGUAGUCC
rnacentral:rRNA from 1 species